rnacentral:lncRNA from 1 species
CCAUACAACACCAACAGAUAUAAUCAUAUAAUCAUAUACCAUUCAACACAAACAAAUAUAACCAAUAAAUAUAAUCACAUACCAUACGAAUUCCAAUAUAUUGUUCAAUUAAAAAACUAAAAUAUCUCACAAGUCAUAAACCAUACAAAUGUCAUAGACAACACAAUUGGUUCAGUAAUCAAGCAUUAUAAGAAGCCCACACAU